GAAUUGAUAAACAAUUUACUGUUUCAACAGAUUCGGAUUAUACAGCAAAUCAAAGUGCGUUUUCGAACGCAGAACGUGCAAUCUGUAAUAUAGGUGAACUCGAAAAAUACCAUCGUGUUUCGAAGCAAUCACAUACGGAAAACCCCUUUAAUAAAGCAAACCUCUAACUACUGAAACAUCAAGCACGCAAAAUGUUUUGUUCAUUUCACAGAGAUCGGACAUAGCCAUGCGUUAUACUUCUCGAUAGACACUCAAGAGUAGGCUUUGAAAACAAACCGGAAACUGUGCGUUUUAAAGACGCAGGCUAGUCAAUAGUGUGAAAGAAUCUAAUUUUCGGUACGAGAAACACAUUAUGACGUUUGUAAUUGGUUGUUAGAAGACGAGGUUGAUACAACUUUCUUAUUCAAACAUCAAAAGCAAGCUGUUAUGAGUUGAUUUACGUCUAGUUAUGUGCUUUAGGAAAGCACCCGACUCCGGGACAGAUGGAGCACCAAAGGUUGAGCUCUCUGUUGGUGGUCAUAUGAUAUGAAAAACUGCCAUCUUGUAAGCUAGGAGAUAAGGCCCGAACAAACCGGAAAGUGUGCGUUUUAAAGACGCAGGCUAGUCAAUAGUGUAGAAGAAUCUAAUUUUCGGUACAAGAAACACAUGGCGCUUGUAAUUGCUUGUAAGAACAUGAUAUAAUUUUUCUUGUUCAAACAUCAAAGCAAGCUGUUAUUAGUUGAUUUAUAGUUGAUUUACGUCUUUAAAGCUAGUUAUGUGCUUUUGGUUUGCUUAAUUUUGGGUAUAAGUUCAUAAUAUUUCCUACAUUCAUGUCACCUUCCUGGGUUUACAUUCAAAGUAGUGGACUACAAUUUAUUUCAUUGAGCAUUUUUGUAUAUAGUUUGGUGAGCUUGAGUUUAAGCAGGGUAUAAAUAACAAUGUCAAGUAAUUUAUCCCUUAGGAUAAAACCAAUCGCAUGUCUAUUAGUGCGUUCGAAAAUGCAACGGUCUAGAUAUUCAUGCAAGCACGAGAUCAAGAGACAGAUAUAGGCAUGGAAAGCCAGUGAAAAUAUUAUAUCCUCGCAAACUUUAAACACCGCCAGAUUACUAUUUUCCAAAAGUAGUUGUUUAUUCGAGAACUAGACAUUUUGUUGCCAAUAAACAGUGAACAAUACGCUCUGAGAAUAAAGCCGAUGUUCUGGGAUGUUGGCGCGUUCUAGAGACCCCUUUUAGGGGUAGCGAUGAGUAAGUUCGAGAUUUGCCGAGGCGCCGAGACCGCGUUUUAGAAUCCGAGCCCGAGACUUUAAGUCAAAUUUCGGAAUCCGUGUCCGAGCUUUUACUAGCUUGUGUUCGGACAUCAGAUAACUUGCUCGAGGUAUGUCAUAAACAUUAGUUGAAAAAGAAUAGCUAGAGCGGAAAGGCUUAAGACUCGAGACUCGAAAAAGAGGGAAACCCUUAGCAGUAACAACAUAAAACAGAUCGCGUUUAACAGAGACUCCGAGAACGUGGUACAAAAAGAGGCUCCACGAUCCUAAAAUGUCGUGGGGAAAAACGAGACUUCGAGACUUCCGUAAAAACGCCGAGAUUCCGAGACUUUGCGAAAUUUUUGCGAGAUUUUCGAAAUUUUAAGAAAGACAUGACAUAUUUGGUAUAGCGAAAAGAGAUUCUGGGAGAGCUGUGCAAA